rnacentral:rRNA from 1 species
UACGUAGGGUGCAAGCGUUAAUCGGAAUUACUGGGCGUAAAGCGUGCGCAGGCGGUGAUGUAAGACAGGUGUGAAAUCCCCGGGCUUAACCUGGGAACUGCAUUUGUGACUGCAUCGCUGGAGUGCGGCAGAGGGGGAUGGAAUUCCGCGUGUAGCAGUGAAAUGCGUAGAGAUGCGGAGGAACACCGAUGGCGAAGGCAGCCCCCUGGGGCUAACACUGACGCUCAGGCACGAAAGCGUGGGGAGCAAACAGG